UAGAAUGGCCACACCACCCUACACGCACCCGAUCUUGUCUGGUCUUGGAAGCUUAGUGGGGUUGGGCCUACUUAGCACUUGGAGGGGAGAAUGGCGCUGCAGUUC
rnacentral:rRNA from 1 species